rnacentral:rRNA from 1 species
GACGAACGCUGGCGGCGUGCCUAAUACAUGCAAGUAGAACGCUGAAGGAAGGAGCUUGCUCUUUCCGGAUGAGUUGCGUACGGGUGAGUAACGCGUAGGUAACCUGCCUGGUAGCGGGGGAUAACUAUUGGAAACGAUAGCUAAUACCGCAUAACAGUAGAUAUCGCAUGAUAGCUGCUUGAAAGGUGCAAUUGCACCACUACCAGAUGGACCUGCGUUGUAUUAGCUAGUUGGUGAGGUAACGGCUCACCAAGGCAACGAUACAUAGCCGACCUGAGAGGGUGAUCGGCCACACUGGGACUGAGACACGGCCCAGACUCCUACGGGAGGCAGCAGUAGGGAAUCUUCGGCAAUGGACGGAAGUCUGACCGAGCAACGCCGCGUGAGUGAAGAAGGUUUUCGGAUCGUAAAGCUCUGUUGUAAGAGAAGAACGAGUGUGAGAGUGGAAAGUUCACACUGUGACG